UGAGACAACAAUGAAUAAUAGCAACAUGUGCCAGGCACUGUACUAAGACUUGGCAACACAAAGAAAGGCAACAGAUGAUCUCUGAUCUCCAAGAACUCAUACUCUAAUGGAGAGACAACAUGCAGAUGAGGAAACUGAGGCCUGACAAGAUUAAGUGAAUCGCCUAAAAACAAACAUCUAGCAAGUAUCCUAGUUGAGAACCAAACAUCUAUGUCCUGGCUGCAAAUCUGGAUAACUGGUUUUAUGCCCACUUCAAAUUGUCAAGAGACAGCAUGGGUGAGAGAAAAGAGCAUGGACUGACUGGACUUGGCAUCAGAAGACAGAUUUGAAACCCUGGUCAGAAAUUACUGAAUUGUGAAAAUAGGCUUGUUGAGAGGGAAACAAUCUGGAAAUGUGAGCAAAAAAUGUACAAUGACAGUGCCUGAUUAGGCCAAGGCAGCCAUGGAGGUUGAUCAAUCAUCCUGGUAAAUUACACAGCUUUGUUUGGAAAUGAACUUCAGAAGACCAAGACCCUUUGGGUAUUUCUAAAGUGAAGUCUGCACACUAGUUUCAAGCAAUGGCUAUGGAGGGUUUCCCAGCUAUUGAGGUGUAUUAUGUGUGUUGGGAUACACAAGAUCCAGCUGAAGCUGGUGAGAUGAGGUCAGAGGGAUAGUAAUGAUGAUUAUGGAGAUCAAAAGACUGGUUUUACUUUUAAUAUGUCUGUUGGCUAAACUGCUACCCAUUUCUCCAAGCAGUUCUGGUUGAGUAAAGAAUUCCUUCACCAGAAGUUUGUGUUUAUGGGUUUAUCAAAUACUAGAAGCCUGCUAUUCACAUUUAUGUCUGUCUUACUUAUUUAACAUAUUCCAAGUCAAAAUCACUCAUGUAAUACUGGAUAGUUUUAAUAAUUAUUACUUUGCAAUAUAAUUGGAGAUCUGGUUGUACUCUUUCCUCCAUCUUUUUUUUUUCUUCCCAAUGGUUCACUUGAUGCUCAUAAUUUUUUUUU